UUUGGAAGUAAAAGUCGUAACAAGGUCUCCGUUGGUGAACCAGCGGAGGGAUCAUUACAGAGUUAUCAAAACUCCCAAACCCAUGUGAACAUACCUCGCGUUGCCUCGGCAGGUGGCGCCCCGCCCUGUGAGGGCCUACCCUGUAGGAGCUCACCCGGUGGUCGCCCCUGCCGACGGCCCACGAAACUCUGUUUUUUUAUAGCAUUAGACCUCUGAAAAGAUAACUAAAUAAGUUAAAACUUUCAACAACGGAUCUCUUGGUUCUGGCAUCGAUGAAGAACGCAGCGAAAUGCGAUAAGUAAUGUGAAUUGCAGAAUUCAGUGAAUCAUCGAAUCUUUGAACGCACAUUGCGCCCACCAGUAUUCUGGUGGGCAUGCCUGUUCGAGCGUCAUUUCAACCCUUAAGCCCCUGUUGCUUAGCGUUGGGAGCCUACCGGAAACCGUCCGGUAGCUCCCCAAAGUCAGUGGCGGAGCCGGUUCGCACUCCAGACGUAGUAGCUUUUACACGUCGCCUGUAGCGCGGGCCGGUCCCCUGCCGUAAAACCCCCAAAUUCUUAUAGGUUGACCUCGGAUCAGGUAGGAAUACCCGCUGAACUUAAGCAUAUCAAUAAGCCGGAGGAAA
rnacentral:rRNA from 1 species